rnacentral:ncRNA from 23 species
ACUUUUACCCUCGCAUCGGGUGCACUCUACACGAGUGAUUAAAAGGGAAUCGGGUGGAAAUCCCGAACUGUCCUGCAGCUGUAAAUCGCAUAUCCAGGCAAACAUGACGUCACUGAGAUUCUUGGGAAGACGUUUGCCACCGGGCGACAAGUCAGAAGACCUGCCUUUGCAUUGUCAUUCAAA